rnacentral:antisense_RNA from 1 species
GCGGCCGCGCUCUCUCCGGGACCCGCGCCGGCUCCGCGUUCGGCCUCUCCCCGGCGGCGGCGGCGGCCCGGGCUCCGGCUCAGCCCACCCCACCCGCCCCUGGAGCGGCGGAGACCGAGGCAGGGUCCAGCCCUGGGCAAGGCGUCCACCCACUGCGGCUGCAGUUCCUCACUCGACCUUGACAGCCUCCCAGAGCAGCCGCCCGCUCCCACCCCCACCAUCGCCUCGGCCACUCCCGCGCCAGAGAAGACACUUCAGACUCCGGAGCUGCUCUUCUGCAAUUCGGUGUUUUAUUCUUUCCAAAUCUCAGGCUU